GACGAACCGUCCAAACGUUGUUCGGAAUCACUGGGCUUAAGGGCGCGUAGGCGGGUGACCAAGUCCGGGGUGAAAUCUUUCGGCUCAACCGGAAAACUGCCUUGGAUACUGGUCGUCUCGAGGGAGGUAGGGGUCUGUGGAACUGAUGGUGGAGCGGUGAAAUGCGUUGAUAUCAUCAGGAACGCCGGUGGCGAAAGCGACGGACUGGACCUCCACUGACGCUGAGGCGCGAAAGCUAGGGGAGCAAACGGG
rnacentral:rRNA from 1 species